rnacentral:rRNA from 1 species
ACGAGUGGCGGACGGGUGAGUAAUGUCUGGGAAACUGCCCGAUGGAGGGGGAUAACUACUGGAAACGGUAGCUAAUACCGCAUAAUGUCUACGGACCAAAGCGGGGGACCUCCGGGCCUCGCGCCAUCAGAUGAACCCAUAUGGGAUUAGCUAGUAGGUAAGGUAACGGCUUACCUAGGCGACGAUCCCUAGCUGGUCUGAGAGGAUGACCAGCCACACUGGAACUGAGACACGGCCCAG